CCUACGGGAGGCAGCAGUGAGGAAUAUUGGUCAAUGGACGCAAGUCUGAACCAGCCAUGCCGCGUGCAGGAUGACGGUCCUAUGGAUUGUAAACUGCUUUUGUACGAGAAGAAACACUCCUACGUGUAGGAGCUUGACGGUAUCGUAAGAAUAAGGAUCGGCUAACUCCGUGCCAGCAGCCGCGGUAAU
rnacentral:rRNA from 1 species